AGCAUCGUAAACAGUGGCGACAGCAUGUCAAGAGAAUCUCUAAUUAGGCGAAGGCCGCAGUUCUGCAGGGCUUCAUCCGUGCUUCGGGACAUCACAAAUAUCAACCAACACCUUGAACCAAAGGAGUUGAUUCAGGCAAAAGUUUGAAUUGGUGCAAGGCCUGGUGAGAAAGCACCACCUGAUGCUAGCAAUCAAAUAGAAACUAACAAAAGGGGAGAAUUGAAACCGUAUCAUCUCCUUGAGCUUCUACGGAUGAGAGUAACAGGAGGAAAUAAUACAGCCGACUGACGAUACUCUUCCGACAAAAAUAAUAGAAGGAUGGUGAGUGC
rnacentral:misc_RNA from 1 species